GGGGUUGUGGCUCAGGGGUAGAGCGCUCGCCUGGCGCAUGUGAGGCCCUGGGUUCGAUCCUCAGCACCACA
rnacentral:tRNA from 1 species